AUUACACUCCAUCCGUUCGGAAAUACUUGUCGAAGGAAUGGAUGUAUUGUCGGAGAAAUUGAUGUAUCUAGACACAUUUUAGUUCUAGAAAUAUCCAUUUUUAUCUAUUUCUUCGACAAGUAUUUUUGGACGGAGUGAGUACUUG
rnacentral:pre_miRNA from 1 species